CUAUAAAUACAUGCAUACUCUUCAUGGGGACUUUUCCAUUCCAUACCAAAAGGACCAUGGUCAGGUUAAGUGCAAGGCCGAAGACCAUAACCACCAAAAGCACCACGAUAUGGCCUUUCCUGUAAACGCCUAUGGUAUCGGUGGAAAGUUCGUUUGAAGUUGUUCGGCGAUGACAGCCACAAAAAUCGAGAACUAUAGCGAAAUAAUAUUUUUAAAGGAGGCAAUGGCUUGUGACUGGACUUGACAGCAUGUAUGCCGUCCUUUCAGACCUUCUAGUAAUUUCCGAGCAAAUCCCCGUGGUAAUCAUUGGCGUCAUUACACCUGAAGUAGUCACUGAUUGGUUUAACAAGUUUAGGACGCAACAAGAGAAACGUCGCUUUUCAAAAUUCUGAACGAAAACCCUCUGUUUGGUAAUACUACUCUUUUUUUUAGGAAAAACCGCUAUUGUCUAUAAAAUGGACACUAAAAACAAUAAAUGAAGUAAUUUAUAAGAUAAAUGUAUUAUUAUGCAGGUACUGGGCUCGUACAAGUACCGAAGGAGUUCCUUUAUUUGGUUGUUUUUUCCACAUUCUUCUAAUUUCCAGGAAUUUUUCUAGACAUUAUUAUGUUAGGAGAAACGCAAUCCACUUCUUGUAAUACCACAUAUUGAGAUUCAUUAUAUGAAGAACCCCGUUAUCAGACUAUGCGAUAUCUUGAAGAUAUGACCGAAUAAAAAUGGAAUUUUGGACGGA